CAGUAGCCGCGGUAAAACGGAGGGUGCAAGCGUUAUCCGGAUUUAUUGGGUUUAAAGGGUCCGUAGGCGGACUUAUAAGUCAGUGGUGAAAGCCUGUCGCUUAACGAUAGAACUGCCAUUGAUACUGUAAGUCUUGAGUAUAUUUGAGGUAGCUGGAAUAAGUAGUGUAGCGGUGAAAUGCAUAGAUAUUACUUAGAACACCAAUUGCGAAGGCAGGUUACCAAGAUAUAACUGACGCUGAGGGACGAAAGCGUGGGUAGCGAACAGGAUUAGAUACCCGCGUAGUCCCUGUCUCUUAUAC
rnacentral:rRNA from 1 species